GACGAACCGUGCGAACGUUGUUCGGAAUUACUGGGCGUAAAGGGCGCGUAGGCGGCCUUCUAAGUCAGACGUGAAAUCCCCCGGCUUAACCUGGGAACUGCGUCUGAUACUGGGAGGCUUGAGUAUGGGAGAGGGAUGUAGAAUUCCAGGUGUAGCGGUGAAAUGCGUAGAUAUCUGGAGGAAUACCGGUGGCGAAGGCGGCAUCCUGGACCAUAACUGACGCUGAGGCGCGAAAGCUAGGGGAGCAAACGGG
rnacentral:rRNA from 1 species